UCGGCAGCUGAUGGGGCAAGUGCAAACACACACACACAGCUAGACUCGCACGAUACAAUUACCCCGACCGCGCUCGACUCGCCAACGACACUCGACACGACUUGCACCAUGAAGCUUUUCACCCCGUUACCCUGCCCUCGACUCGUGUGGACGCAGUUGGACUGUCGACUGCACACGCUGCUAGACCGUGCGACCUGACCACGACUUAGCUCACCACCAAGUUGCGCGGCCAAAUCUUCCAACUCACAGGUUCUUCUCGCGCUCGCUCUUGCUUUUCCCCUCCCCCGCUCACCUCGCUUCGCCUCAAGCUCUUAACUAUCUCAUGCUUCGUCGCUCGCUCGCUUGCUUCAGUCUGUCUAGGACGUAUGCACAAUCUGCUCGACACCGUCUCCGAGCGCCUCGCUUCCCCUCACCACCGUGAGUUCCCUCUCCCUCCCGCGCACGCCCCGCACCCAUCCAAGCACCCGAGCCACCCCAAGCCCAGGGGGGGAGACGACGAUACCCCAUCACUAUAAUCACGACGGUCUGCGUAUCCCUUGUAAAGGGGAGAUGCCGAACCUGCUCGCCUUCUAAACCAUUUUUAUCGAGCAUACUCUGAUCCCCCCCUCUUUCGAAGCUUCGGGUGCUUGGUGGCGGGCGCGCGCGAGAGAUCAAGGCUUGGAGCACAAAACUGACAAUGUCUUUGGCGCAUAACAGGGCUUGCGCUUCGCUUCGAA
rnacentral:misc_RNA from 1 species